rnacentral:rRNA from 1 species
CCUACGGGGGGCUGCAGUGAGGAAUAUUGGUCAAUGGACGAGAGUCUGAACCAGCCAAGUAGCGUGAAGGAUGACUGCCCUAUGGGUUGUAAACUUCUUUUAUAUGGGAAUAAAACAGGGUAUGCAUACCCACGUGUAUGUACCAUAUGAAUAAGGAACGGCUAACUCCGUGCCAGCAGCCGCGGUAAUACGGAGGAUCCGAGCGUUGUCCGGAUUUAUUGGGUUUAAAGGGAGCGUAGGUGGAUUGUUAAGUCAGUUGUGAAAGUUUGCGGCUCAACCGUAGAAUUGCAGUUGAAACUGGCAGUCUUGAGUACAGUAGAGGUGGGCGGAAUUCGUGGUGUAGCGGUGAAAUGCUUAGAUAUCACGAAGAACUCCGAUUGCGAAGGCAGCUUACUAAACUGCCACUGACAUUGAUGCUCGAAAGUGUGGGUAGCAAACAGGAUUAGAUACCCCUGUAGUC